rnacentral:rRNA from 1 species
GAGUUUGAUCAUGGCUCAGGAUGAACGCUAGCGGCAGGCCUAAUACAUGCAAGUCGAACGGUAAAUAGUUCAGCAAUGGACUAUGAGAGUGACGCACGGGUGCGUAACACGUAUGCAACCUACCCUUUACAGGAGUAUAGCUCGGGGAAACUCGAAUUAACACUUCAUAGUAUGAUUGAAUGGCAUCAUUUGAUUAUUAAAUCUGCGGAGGUAAAGGAUGGGCAUGCGUCUGAUUAGCUAGUUGGUAGUGUAACGGACUACCAAGGCGAUGAUCAGUAGGGGAACUGAGAGGUUGAUCCCCCACACUGGCACUGAGAUACGGGCCAGACUCCUACGGGAGGCAGCAGUAGGGAAUAUUGGUCAAUGGGUGAGAGCCUGAACCAGCCAUGCCGCGUGCAGGGAAGACGGCCUUCUGGGUUGUAAACUGCUUUUGUCAGGGGAUAAAAUAUCCUUGCGUGGGAAAUUGAAGGUACCCGGUGAAUAAGCCACGGCUAACUACGUGCCA